GUCUUCGUGGUGUAACGGUAGCACACGCGGCUCCUAACCGGGAGGUCCAGGUUCAAGUCCCACCGAAGACA
rnacentral:tRNA from 1 species